UACGUAGGGUGCAAGCGUUGUCCGGAAUUAUUGGGCGUAAAGAGCUUGUAGGCGGUUUGUCGCGUCUGCUGUGAAAAUCCGAGGCUCAACCUCGGACUUGCAGUGGGUACGGGCAGACUAGAGUGUGGUAGGGGAGACUGGAAUUCCUGGUGUAGCGGUGAAAUGCGCAGAUAUCAGGAGGAACACCGAUGGCGAAGGCAGGUCUCUGGGCCACUACUGACGCUGAGAAGCGAAAGCAUGGGGAGCGAACAGG
rnacentral:rRNA from 1 species